rnacentral:tRNA from 1 species
GAGUAAGGAAUGGGUUUGUCCAUGUCUAUUUACGGAGUAGAAUGAUUUUUUACUUU